UCUUUAGCUUACCUUACUUAGCAGUCCAAACUACUUGCCUAGCCAUGGAGCCCUUCUCAUCCAAACUACUUGCACCUAGCCUCACCAUACUGACGAUGGCCGCUGCAGCCGUACUUGUGGCGGCGUUGCCGCCAUCGCUCGAAGGGCAGGCAGGAGCGCUCCUAGCUUGGAAAGCCACCCUCGACAACGAAAGCCAGCAUGCCCUUCGGUCCUGGGGCAACAUGUCAGCGCCUUGCAAUUGGCGUGGAAUCAGGUGCGGUACGCACAGGGUUCAGCGGCACCGACACCGGCCGGUGAUAGUCAAGAUCUCCCUGCGGGGGAUGCGGCUGCGAGGGAAGCUGGAAUCCCUCGACUUCUUGGCCUUGAGGACCUUGACGACCAUCGACCUCUCGGGCAACGGGCUUACCGGAAGCAUCCCUACAAGUAUUGAACUCCUCGAGGAGCUCCAUGCUUUGCUCAUUCAGGGCAACCAGAUAAGAGGAUCAAUUCCACCUGCUUUAGCAAACCUCACAAAACUCCGUUUCUUAGUGCUCUCCAACAAUCAAGUAUCUGGUCAAAUUCCAAAGCAAAUAGGGAAAAUGAGUAAUCUUGUGAGUCUAAACUUGUCAAUCAAUCACUUGACUGGUCCUAUCCCUCCUGAAAUAGGCCACCUAAAGCAACUGUUUAUAUUAGAUUUGUUUGACAAUAACCUUUCGGGUUCAAUCCCAAGCAAUGUAGGUGAUCUAACCAAACUCACUAUCUUGUACCUUGACCAAAACCACAUUUCAGGACAUAUACCUCGAGAACUAGGUUAUUUGGGGAACCUAGAGGACUUAGCUCUCAGCGGAAACACAAUCACCGGUUCCAUUCCAAGAAACCUAUGGAACUUGACCAAGCUCACUGGCUUAUAUCUUUGGGGUAACAAACUUUCUGGGCAAAUUCCACGAGAGUUAGGUUACAUGGUGAACUUAGAUAACUUGGAUCUUACCGAGAACGCACUCACAGGUUCCAUCCCAAGCAGCUUAGGGAAUUUGACAAAACUCACCACCUUGCUCCUUUUUGAGAACAAACUUUCUGGGAAGAUUCCACAAGAACUAGGUUUUCUGGUCAACUUGGAGAACCUCAAGCUACACAAGAACACGCUCAUAGGCUCCAUCCCGGAUAGUUUAGGGAAUUUGACCAAACUUAGUACCUUGUACAUUCACAAUAACCAACUUUCUGGACAUAUCCCUCAUGAACUAGGCUAUUUGGUUAAUUUACAGGACUUGCAGCUUAGUUACAACACACUAUCAGGUUCUAUCCCAAACAACUUAAUGAAUCUGACUAAACUCACUAUCUUAUAUCUUGGUGGUAACCAACUUUACGGGUAUAUUCCUAAAGAACUAGGUAACAUGGUGACCUUACAGGAUUUGGCUCUUGAGUACAACAUGUUGACGGGUUCCAUACCAGAUAGCUUGUGGAAUUUAACCAAACUCACUGGCCUAUUCCUUCAGAGUAACCAACUUUCAAGACAUAUCUCUCAAGAACUAGGUAACUUGGUCAACUUAACUUGCAAAUUAGCAACAACACACUAAUAGGUCACAUCCCAAACAGUAUAGGAAAUAUGACUAAGCUCGCUACCUUUUACAUUCACACUAACCAAAAUCUACACGGUGUUCUACCAUCGGGCCUUUGCAUGGGAGGUCAGCUUCAGAAUUUCAGCGCUUAAAACAACAAUUUUGUUGGACCCUUGCCAGCAAGCUUGCUAAAUUGUACAAGCAUAGUCAGACUUCGUCUUGAACGAAACCAGUUCGAAGGAGAUAUCUCUGAGAUGGGAGUUCACCCGAAUCUUGUCUAUAUUGAUAUCAGUUACAACAAACUUUUUGGUCAGCUAUCUUAUCGAUGGGGUGAGUGCCUCAAGCUUACCAUGUUGCGUGCCUCAAACAACAAUAUCACUGGAGCCAUACCACCAAGCAUAGGGAAAUUAUCUCGGUUGGGGAUACUUGAUAUUUCCUCAAAUAAACUUGAAGGGGAAAUUCCACCUGAAAUUGGUAAUCUAUCAAGGUUGUUCAAUCUGAGCCUCGGUAAUAACUUUCUUAGAGGAAGUAUACCACAAGAAUUUGGAUCAUUAAAGAAAUUGGAGUAUCUGGAUUUAUCCACAAACAACUUAAGUGGGCCGAUACAAGGGUCAAUCAAGCAUUGUUCCAAGCUUCGCAUUCUGAAGUUCAGCCAUAAUCACCUCAACGGUAGCAUUCCUAUGGAACUAGGGAUGUUGGUAAACCUACAAGAUUUGUUGGAUCUAAGUGAUAAUUCAUUCAAAGACAAGAUACCGAGCCAGCUGGGUAGUCUCAGGAUGCUUGAAGUCUUGAAUCUUUCACACAAUGCAUUGAGCGGUAGCAUUCCAUCAUAAUUUCGUAGCCUCGUUAGCCUCUUAUCAAUUGGUAUGUCAUACAAUCAAUUAGAAGGGUCGGUGCCACGAAACAGGUUCUUUGAAGAAGCUCCAAUUGAAUGGUUCUUGCACAAUAACCAACUAUGUGGUGUAGUGAAAGGUUUACCCUCUUGUGAAAUUACUCAAAGUCAUGGCCAAGAUAAGAAGGCCAAAGUUUUUUUACUAGCUAUAAUUCCUUCUGUAGUAUUUCUUCUUCUCAUCACAGCAAUACUAACAAUAUUGCAAUGUAAGAGGAAGAAAUCCAAUGAAAGAGUGAGAUUGAACUGCAACAAACAAAUUUGUACGCAAUUUGGAACUUUGACGGAGAAGAUGUGUAUAAGAAAAUUAUCGAUGCCACAGAAAAUUUCAGCGACACCCACUGCAUUGGAAUUGGAGGUAAUGGGUCAGUAUAUAGAGCUCAGUUACCAACAGAUGAGAUAUUUGCGGUAAAGAAGAUUCAUGAGAUUGAAGAUUCUGAGACAUUUAAUCGUGAAAUAGAUGCGUUGAUGCAUAUUCGACAUUGCAACAUUGCAAAGUUAUUCGGAUAUUGUUCUGCUCCUCGGGGGAGAUUUCUUGUGUAUGAAUACAUGGAUAGUGGAAGCUUAGCAUCAUGCUUGAAGAACGAGAGCUUGCAUACACGACAAGGGUGACAGAGAAGUGCGACGUAUAUAGCUUUGGUGUACUUGUUCUCGAGUUGUUUAUGGGACAUCAUCCAGGUGAUUUUCUAUUGUCCAUGGCCACAAAAGGCACAUCACUCGAGGAUUUGUUGGACACCCGGCUCCAACUUCCUGAAGCUGAGCUCGCAAGUGAAAUAUUCAAAGUGGUCAUGGUUGCUAUUCGGUGUAUAGAACCUAAUCCAUCACACCGUCCGACGAUGCAACAUGUAAUCAAGAUGUCCUCUACAACUGAAGGACCUGAUACUACUCUUGAUUAUCUGCACACUGACAUUUUCACCCCGGUCUGCUGGUUGUGAAUGUUCUUUUUUUUAAGCUUUUAUUGAUCUCAAUGCUAUAUCAAGUGAAUGUUCUUUAAGCACGUUGUUUGUUCCUAAUGAUUGGAGACUGUUUGUAAUACAUAAUAUGUCUUCUGCAGUACCCUCAUGCCCUGUACUGCCAUUUGUAGCUAUCAUCUGCGUAUAAAUAUUUGUAUAGCAGAGCUCCUUCUAUUUCUUCAGCACAUUAAUAAAUAUUCCAUUUGCAUC